GACAGAGGGUGCAAACGUUGUUCGGAAUUACUGGGCGUAAAGCGCGUGUAGGCGGCCCGGAAAGUCGGAUGUGAAAGCCCUGGGCUUAACCUAGGAAGUGCAUUCGAAACUGCUGGGCUUGAGUUCUGGAGAGGAAGGCGGAAUUCUCGGUGUAGAGGUGAAAUUCGUAGAUAUCGAGAGGAACACCGGUGGCGAAGGCGGCCUUCUGGACAGUGACUGACGCUGAGACGCGAAAGCGUGGGGAGCGAACAGG
rnacentral:rRNA from 1 species